rnacentral:rRNA from 1 species
UACGAAGGGGGCAAGCGUUGUUCGGAAUUACUGGGCGUAAAGGGCGCGCAGGCGGCCCUUGAAGUCAGGCGUGAAAGCCCCGGGCUCAACCUGGGAGGUGCGCUUGAUACUGGAGGGCUUGAGUGCGGGAGAGGAGAGUGGAAUUCCCAGUGUAGAGGUGAAAUGCGUAGAUAUUGGGAAGAACACCGGUGGCGAAGGCGGCUCUCUGGACCGUAACUGACACUGAGGGACGAAAGCUAGGGGAGCGAACGGG